rnacentral:rRNA from 1 species
CAGAGCCGCGGUAAUACGGAGGGAGCUAGCGUUGUUCGGAAUUACUGGGCGUAAAGCGCGCGUAGGCGGUUACUCAAGUCAGAGGUGAAAGCCCGGGGCUCAACCCCGGAACUGCCUUUGAAACUAGGUGACUAGAAUCUUGGAGAGGUCAGUGGAAUUCCGAGUGUAGAGGUGAAAUUCGUAGAUAUUCGGAAGAACACCAGUGGCGAAGGCGACUGACUGGACAAGUAUUGACGCUGAGGUGCGAAAGCGUGGGGAGCAAACAGGAUUAGAUACCCCCGUAGUCCCUGUCUCUUAUACA